UUCCAAGUCACAGAAGGCUCUGACAGCUCCCCUAGGUCAGUAGAGGGAUGACCACGAGAACCAGAACAAACCUGCCUGGCUGACAAGGGAAGGCCCAGGGAAUGGAGGGCAUCCAGUGGUCAACACAUAGUCUUCAAACCACAGAAGAGAAAGAGAAAACUUAUGACCCACCCUGGUGGUUCUUAAACGAUGCUGGAUGGAGCCCUUCAGGGUACAGAGUCCUUUACAAGGUGUCAGGGACGUGCACAGCAGGCACAAGAAGUAGAACACGCCAUGUUCCAGCCCCUUUGCGGUGAGAUGAGCCCCAGAACUAACCCUGGCCAACAGGGCUAUGAGCAUGUCACUUUCAAGUGAAGCAUACAAGAGCAGUUGGGGCCACUCAUGCCACUCUCCUGCCAGAGCAAUCAAGAGACUGUGUAGUCCCAGCCAGUAUGGGUACAGGAGACAGAGCCUCCAUCAGCUCCAGACCUUGGGUGACUACAUGGAACGGAAUCCCCACCCCCAAUCUGUGAUGGACAGAAAGCACAAGUAAGAAAUAAAACACUGUAU